ACAGCAGCAAUAUUGCAGUUACAGUAUGAUGUACCAUCAUGGUGCAUUCAUGGCUAUUAAAACUGUGCUAUUGUAGGAUACGAUACCUACAGUACCCUUGGCCAUGCAUUACAGCAGUGGCA
ensembl:ncRNA K11D2.6 ncRNA